AGGAACUGAAAUGGCACUGAUGCAGCAAGGACUGAGCAGCAAGUGCUGCCCUCGGCGAUGCUUCUGGUCCUCCUCAGGGCAUUUGGCCGAGGUUUGGAGAGCUCAGGGAUGCACAUGGGGUUGUCCCAUGGGAAUAAGAGGAAAAUAUUGCAUUAAAAGGGGAUGGGGAAAAAAAGAAAGAGAAGCUUUUUUGAAAUGAGCUGUUUGAAAGGACAGUUUUCAUCAAAGGAAAAGUCACCGUCUCAGGGAAGUCUUCAGUGUAGACAACUUCAGCAGGAAACUGCUCAAUUUCUGUGCAGCUGUGCUGCUCCCUUUGCUCACUGCCACCUGAUGUGUCCUGCCUGGGGUGGCACAGACCUUGCUGGCAGCAGAUGAGAAAUCUCAGCCUGGUGGAGAAGGAUCAGUCUGGAGACCUGGAUCAUGUAAUGAGUAGAAAUACUCUCUGCAGUCUUGGUGGCUUUGAAGCCAUCCCCUUGUUGACUCCAAAGCUGUUUCCUUGAUGGCUUGUCAUCAGACCUCCAUUCUGCAGUACUACUGCAAGGGCAGCUUUUCUCCAUGAGGCCCACAGGUCCUACAGGGAUAUUUCACCAGGGCUGUAGAGAGCCAAGGCAGGGCAGGUGCUGACUGCACUGCCAUCUUCACCCUCAGGGUAUCUGUCUUUCCUUUCUGGUAACCCACUUUGGGAUGCGUCACCCCACUGUGGUUGUGCUCCCGGAAGAUAACCACCAGGUUCAGAAGAAUUCCCGCAGAUGUGUUGGUAGAUGAACAGUCCCUCGUCUUGGUGUAAGAUCAUCAGUGGGAAUGUGGUUGAGGAGGCCUUGGCUUUCCAGCUCAACUACAAGGCAACAUUUCAGGCAGCAGACUGUGAACAUCUGAACUGGCUCCAUCCAGUCCAGGAUCUGUCUCCAGCAGGAAAAAGACACAACAGGGUCAAACGCAGGUUCCCCACGCAGGUGAAUUACUCCUGCUCUGCCGAUCGUUGGUAACCUGUGAACAGCAGAAAUUGUCCCCAGGGACACCUUCAAACUGUGGCUCAGGGAAGCGUCUUCUCCCAGCUCCCACCAAUAUAUGUUCUGCAGAAGUGGCUCCAGGACUUGGUUACGUUGAGUCCCUGAGGGUUGGGAACUUCUGGGCUGGGAAAGGAAUGCGAGCUGUUCCUUCUGGUCCUUUCUCAAUGCACACAGCAUUUCUGGGCUUUCCCUUCAAGACACAGAGAGACAUGGCCAUAUCCUCAGAGGUGCUCAGCUUUGUCCACAGAGCAUUUCAACACCCAGCACCUCAUUCCUGUACUCAGCUCUGCCACAUCCCAUCUCUACUUUUACGUUUAGUUGUCAGCUUGAGGUAGCCCAAUCCUAAAGGUGGAAAAUUCCCUCAUUUAGACCCUGCAGAAUUUCUGUAGGAAGCAAAAUUAUGCACUGAGACAAAGUUGGUGAAAAUCUAUAUCCAUGGUGUACAUUUGACCCAAAGUGUCUACGGUGAAAGCCACGCUGCAGUGAGGACUCAAGGUCAGGAUCCAACCCACACAGGUUCAAUUCGCGAGCAUUUUCAGCUCCUUAACAGAUGCUCUAUAACCACUAUAAGUACGUUCCUAGACUCUCCUCAAUGUGUAGUGAAAAUGAUGGUCUUAGUACAAUUUUACACUGUGCUUUUUGGUUUUCAAGUCUGCAGUGCUUAAAUUACCCCUGGUAAGGGACGCAGUGGUGGUUUUGUGCUCAAUGUAAUGCUCAGCCAGCACCAGCCCUAAAGAUAGAUCAUCGUGAAAAGAAUGUUGAUGACAUUUUCUUUUCUUUACUCCACUAAGGACAAGAGAGGUUCAUGUAAAACAUAAGCUUUGGCCCCUUUCCAGCGUUAAUGCAAUUUACUGCAAAAAAGUGCUCACUUUUUUAAUUAAGCUGGAAUGCUGCUACUCAUCGUAGGAAUGCAAAACGAACGGGUUACUGACAGAGGGAAGGGCUAAUAACUGCAGUCUGCUCUUAGCUGCUCAAAGCGUGACUUCGCCACCUCAGCCUGGUUUUGCUUGACGGAGCAGGCAGCAGGCAGCACUGGGUCCCACGUUCAGAUGUCUAAGGAAUAAUUCUGCAAGCCUCUUCCCUCUUCAGUGAAGUCACCGUGAUCAAGCGGCUGGGAUGUGAAUUUCAUAGGCUGAUCUAGUUUCUGAAUAAAUAAAAGUCUGGAAUUUAUUUUUUU
ensembl:lncRNA